GCAUGGACUGGGAGGAGGAAAUCAGGAUUGUCUGGAAAAUGAGUCCAGUUCAGAGUGGAGAGAACAUUGGAACAGGACAUGAGAGACUGGUCGUCCAGGGCUGGCUCCUCUCCUUCCUGGCUCCCUGGCUCACUUAACCGGUGUGCGCUUGUCAGUGAAGGGGUGGCACUUCUAACAGCCGCCCACAGGGCGGGAGAGCAGGGCAGGCGGAGCCGGGAGAAGGUGCUGUGUGAGCUUGCAGUGCCAGAUGUGGGGGUUUCGCCCAGUUGCGUCUCACAGUCAGGGUCUGAGGCCUUUCUGCUUGGGAUCUCUCAAAGGAAAAGAAGGAAAUUUCCUCACCCGAGAAAGCCACCUACGGUAAAUCCACAGCUGACAUCAUAUUCGAUGGCGAAGGAGAAAAGGUUGCCUUCUGAUUUCUAGAACAAAUCAAGGAUGUCUGCUCUCAGCACUUCCAUUUGACACUGUGGCCAGCUAAUAGAGGUGGCUCAAUCCCAUGGCCUAUUGUAUACUGACUUCUGUUCCUGUCUUCACAUCUCCACAUUACCUCUCAUAAGGAUCCUUGUGAUUACAUUGGACCCAUGUGGAUAAUACGGGAUAUCUCCCCGUCACAACAGCCUUAACUAAAAUCACAUUUGGAGAAUCCCAUUUACCAUGUAAGGGGAAAACUUCUCUUGGAGCUGCCUGCCACAGGCUGGGUGGGCUUGGGCCAGGAGGCUCCCUGUUCCUGCAGCUGAAGGACAGGUGUCACAGGACGUGCAAGAAUGGAGUUGAUGGCCUGGACUGGACAGCCAUGAAGAGCAUCUUCACCCACAGGUUAUUCACGCCUCAUGAGAUGCCCUCCACUUGAGUGUGGACUGGACACGGUGACAUGCUUCUAAUGAAAGAACAAGGCACACCUGAUGGGGUGUCACUUUGAGCUUAUGUUUCCAAAAGACUCUGGCUUCUCUUGUGCUUGCCUCUCUUUCUCUCUCAUUGGCUCUGAGGAAAGCCAGCUGCCAUGUUGCGAGCUGCCCUGUGGAGAAGCUCACGUAGCCCAGAACUGAGGGACGUCUCCAGCCAACAGCCAGUGAGGAACCCAGACCAAGAGUCCAGCAAAUUGUAAGGAGCAGAAUCUCACCAGCAACCAUGUCGGGGAGUUGAACCUUGAAAUGAUGGCAGCCCCAGCAGACGCUUUGGUUCCAGGCUUGGGAGAGACCCUGAACCCCAGGACUCAGGCUCCAGUUCCCAGGAAACCCUCCUGGCAGAGAGGGGAGCCGCGGAGUGAUCAGACUGCCUGGGUGGGACCAGCCAGAGAGCUGACGCGCAGACUGAGCAAGAGGAUCUUGGGUGCUGGCACAUGGCAGGUGCUUGAUGCAAACCUGACCCUGUAGCUGUCAGGCUUCUCAGCCUCAUCAUCUUCACGGCAGCCACUGUUGUCAUGACGUCCUCCCAACGCCUCCGGGUGCCUGGACCUGGGAGGACCUCGGGAGGAUGCCCGCUCUUCAGAGACCUGGAAGCCUCCGUUGUGCAAACACCCUUGCUUUGCUGGGGGCUUCCCGAAGGAAUGUUCCCUGGAUCUGGUCACCCCUCGUCCAGUGAGUCCGAGCCUGAGCUCUGCAUGGCAUGCUGCCCGGAAUAGCAACAGCUCGCUCUGCUGUUUCUGCAAGUCUCCUGCUCUCCUCCUGCGUGCUGAGGGUCUCUGCCUUGCUUGGGUGUUGAUUUCUUGCUCUACGAAGCACUGAUUUAAUUCUUGCCUGGGACAUCAUUCAGCCCAAGUUCGUGCUGAAGUGAAACAUAUUUCAGCACCCACCAAUUUCCAUAUAGAUAAAAAAAGAAGAAAAAAACAAGAAAGAAGGGAAACAGCCUCCACCAGCAUCCUCACAAACUCUGCAUUUGAAACCUGUUUCUUGGAGAUGGAUUGCUCCAUCAGGCUGCUAAGAGGUUUUUCUUGACUUGUCAACAGUUUUAUACCCCCACAAACGUUCGUGGCUAUAAAUUAUUCAUUGCCCAGUUAGUGGUUAAAAAAAAAAAAGGAUGCCUGGGGCCGAGGUACAUUCUUAAUUCUCCCACUGCUUUUCACAUCCAAGUUGUUUUUUUCCUUCCUGAUGCUGGAAAGUAGAAAUCACUGCAAGUCUCUACUUGGAUGUUCAUGGCCACGGCCUGACGAGAAGGUCCUGCUGAGCCCAGUGUGGGCUUGGCUGGGAGGGUGGCGGUGGUCCUCGGCGGGACACUGGGGUUCUCAAAUAUAUGUGCAGGUGGGAAAGAGGUGUGUUGGGGGCUUUCUUCUUUUUCUUCUUUUUUCUCCCUGUUGGCAGGAACUCCAAGGUUUUCAAAAAAGCAGAGAGGAGACUUGCUUCUAUUCUACGCCCAGCCAUUUCAGAGACCAUGGCUGGAGAGAAUCUCAGACUUCUUCUGCUCACCAGCUUCCACCCUCCCUGGACCCCUGGAGAAAGCACGUCCCUUUCCUUCUCCCUCAGGCCCACUCUCUCUUGUCCAGCACAUCCUUGGGCCUCCUGCCACCCGAGCUGGCCUCCUCCUGCAGCAGGGAUUCUCAGGUGUACCACCAUCCAUGGGACACGGGUAGAGGUGGUGGGGGAGCUAGGCUUCAGGGCUUGGGGCCCGUGUUGGCCAUGACAAAGCUGCCCGAACUGGGUGGCUUAAAACAACAGAAAUCCAUUCUCUCACAGUGCUGGAGGCUAGGAGCCAGAAAUGAAGGUGUCUGCAGGGCCGUGCUCCCUCCAGCCUCUGCCUCUCCCUCUCCUGCCAGGUAGAAUCUUCCUCGCCUCUCCCCAGUUCCUGGUGUUGGCCCUCAUCCCUGGCCUGUAGCUGGAGUUUCUAUUUCAUUGUCACGUGGUGUCCUCCCUGUGUGUCUCUGUGUCCCACCCUCUACUUCUAGGGACACCGAUCACAUGGGAUGAUGGGCCAACCCUACUCUUCAUCUUAAUGUCACCUGUUACAUCUGCAAAGACCCUAUUUCCAAGUAAGGCCACAUUCACAGAAGACCAAGAGUUGGGAUUUCAAUGUAUCUUUUUUGAGGGACACAACUCAGCCCAUGACAGGGUCAGAAGAGGGAGGAGCCUCCAGGGAUCGGGCUCAGAGCAGAGAUCAGAAGUGUCAGAAGGCCGAAGAGCUGGAAUCCUCCUGAGAGCUCACCUUCCCUCACAACACUCUUGCGUGUUAUUACCCUGAGCGAGUGUCUGUGCCCCCAGCCCGAGGCACAGUACCAAAGCCCUUUUUCCGACUCCAGCUGCGGACGGGCCAGGCUCUGGUGUGGGCUUGAGAACCUGUCCUUUCACACUGGGUUAGAGAGAAAAUUGGGUUGAUGGUAGGACUGACCCACUGCGAAUGGGAAAUGGAUGUCCCUGGAGAAUAAGUGCCUUGGAUCUUAUUCAGUGGCCUGGUUUGAGAACCCCGUGUCCACCUGCCACUGGUAGCAGGACAUGUGGCCUCUUGUGGGGCCCCCUGCUCCUCUUCAAUCCCCAGUUCCUUCCCUUUUCUCACGUUGUCCCCAGACACUAGGGGCCUUGCCAAGCAGCAUCUCUGGGUGGGCUCUGGGAAGGCCUCUGGGGUCCCCUGCUCAAUCUGGAGAGAACUGGCUGGUGGCAGCUCAGCAGUCUCGUGCCCAUGCCCUGCCGAGUGAGGCGGUGUCAUGUGGGGAGUGACAAUGGGACUGGAUGUGGGAUUGUGUUCCCCCAGCCCUAUUCCCUAAUGUGGGGAAAAAGAUUAAUCAUUUCAUUUCCAAAUAUUUUGUAUGUGGAAUGCUGAGGAGGAGAAGUGGCCAAGAGUUUGGGCUUCUAGAGAAUACUUCCAGAUGCUGCAUUUGUAAACACCAGGGGACAUUAGGUUUUGUCAAGGCCACCUAGUGCCCAGCUUCUGUCACCUUUCACCAGCCCAGCGGUGGGGAAGGGGAAGGCUCCAUUCUGCAGACAGCAGACCAAAGAGGCAGGGGCCCAACGGUCCUGACUCAUCUCCUUGGAUGGGGUUGUUACUUUCUGGGUUGCCCACCUUUGAUUCAAUUUAUGUUUAAGUCAGAUUAAGCAGCCUUUCCCUGGAACCGCUGGAGCUCCUCUGGGACCCGGCCGCCCCUAAGUGUGACAGUGAGGGAGUCUGGAGCACAGGCAGCUGAGGGAAUGACUAGGACCAUGAUGGUUGAGGGAGACAGAAACUAAAUGCAAAGCACUCCACAUACAAUAUUUUACGUACUCCUUACAAUAGCACACCCACUGCAAAGGUGAGGUGACCUUGGCUCCAAGACACCAAGUGAUCUACCCAGGUCACCUGGCUAGUAAGUGGCAGAGCCUCAUAGACCCAAAGCUCCCCAAUGAGAGGAUUUCUUCCUCAGGCAGUAGCUUCCCUGUCCCUCUGGUCACAUAGUGGUGGGUAGCAGCUGAGUCCAAACGAUAUUUGGGCAAAUGAGGUUCCUUUCCAGGGCUGAGGAUCGAGUAGAAGCCUUUGGAGCUGAGUGCUGCCUCCCCCGCUUGCUGUCUGGGGAGCUGUAGGUGCGGGCCAUAUUGAUGGAGGAACAGCAGACCCCAGGAUGGGCAGCCUGCCCUUGGGGCACCUGCUGGGGAAUUACUCAGAGGAAGAAGCCAUAGCAGGGAGCUGAGGGAACACGCUCUCUUGGGAGCAUCAGGCGAAAAUUCUCUUUUCAUUCAAAGGCCAAGAGUCAAAUAAAAGGAGGUCUUCUGAAAUCAGGGUUUUUCAGGGAGUAUUUGGAAGUAUUUUGCAGAAAUCCAGACUGUUGUAAAGAGAAACAAGAGUAGCAAGAUGUCCCCAAAAUAAAUCUAUUAAUGAAUUCCAUCAUGGUCUUUUCUGUGAUCCAGUUCAUUUCGUUUCAUUUUUUUUUUUUUGGUAUUAUUUCUUUCUUAAGACUGGAUUCUUUGAAAUAAUAUGGAAAUGACUAUGUAGGUCACUUAUUUUCUAUAUAUUUUUAAAAAUUUACUUUAUUAAAGAAUUUUAAAAUUCAAGUAUAAUUAAGAUACAGUGUUAUAGUCGUUUCAGGUGUGCAAUGUAAUGAUUCAACAAUUCUAUAUAUUUCUUGGUGCUCACCACGUUACAUGUAUGCUCUUUUUUUUAUUAAUAAUUUUGGUUGAGGGGCGCCUGGGUGGCACAGCGGUUAAGCGUCU